AGGGCAAAGGGGUUGGCUUAUGAAAGUAAACCAAUUAAACUUUAUGCUCCUUGGAAAAGUAAAGAUAAAUUUAUUUUCCUUAAUAAAUUGCUCCUCCGAAAACGAAUGCGAAGUUAUGUUCCGUACAAUAAUAGCUGGAGUAAACUCCAGAGAGUGUAGAAGGAACUAAAAAGUAUCGUUUGGAGCUCAGCAACAUGGAGAGCACAGAGAUGGUAUCAUAUGUGAGCCAGCAAGAAGCCAUAGAAAUUGAUCAGAUGUUGAUGGGUCCUAUUGGUUUUACUGUGGAUCAGCUCAUGGAAUUGGCAGGCUUGAGUGUUGCCUCCGCAAUUGCAGAGGUCUAUAGUUCAAGUGAAUAUACUCGCGUGCUUGUUAUAUGUGGUCCUGGUAACAAUGGCGGGGAUGGUCUUGUAGCUGCUCGACACUUGCAUCACUUUGGUUAUAAGCCCUCCGUUUGUUAUCCAAAACGAACUACUGAACCUCCUUUUGCUGGUUUGGUUACCCAGCUUGAGUCACUGUCAGCUCCAUUCUUGCCGGUGGAAGAUCUAUCCAUGCAGCUUUCAAAUGACUUUGAAAUUAUAGUGGAUGCAAUUUUUGGAUUCUCAUUCCAUGGCAACCCAAGGCCACCGUUUGAUAGUCUCAUUAGAAGGCUGGUCUCCAUAAGAAACCAGCAUUACACACAUGAGAAAGCAGCUGUCAUUAUAUCUGUAGACAUACCUUCCAGGUGGCAUGUGGAAGAGGGAGACGUUUGUGGGGAAGGCAUUGAACCUGAUAUGCUGGUCUCUUUGACUGCUCCAAAAUUUGUGUGCCAAAAUGUUCAGUGGCCCACAUCAUUUUUUGGGUGGAAGAUUUGUUCCCCGAUCCAUCAUAGACAAAUUCAAGCUAAAACUUCCAUCAUAUCCUGGCACUUCCAUGUGUGUUCGAAUUGGAAAUAUUCCACAAACCAUUUUAUUAGCACAGAAAGGGAUAUUUGCAGCUUCUGCAUAUCUUGAGGUGGAGGAAGAUCCUAUUGAUCAGUUUCAAAAGUGGCUUGGUGAUGCAUUGGAAGCUGGGGUCAAAGAACCCCAUUAUAUGGUCCUAUCAACAGCUGGUAAAGAUGCAAAACCUUCAUCGCGAAUGGUAUCAUUGGAAGGAGUAAACAAAGAUGGUUUUGUCUGGCACACCAGCUAUGGGAGCCGAAAGGCUCGUGAAAUUUCUGAAAAUCCUCAUGCAUCACUUCUCUUUUACUGGGAUCCUUUGAAAUGCCAGGUAAGAGUGGAGGGAUUUGUGGAGAAAGUUUCUGAUGAGGAAUCUGAACAAUACUUCUCUAGUCUUCCUCGAGAUAUCCAGAUUAGACCAAUAGUUAGCAAGCAGAGCACACUGAUUCAUGGACGAGAGGUUCUCCAUCAACAGUACAAAGAAUUAGAGGAGAAGUAUCAUGACAGGACCUCAAUACCAAGACCCAAACACUGGGGUGGUUACAGGCUUAGUCCAGAGUUUUUUGAGUUUUGGCAGGGAGAAGAAUCUCAAGUGCACCUCAAAUUCCGGUACUAUGUGGAGGAGAUUGAUGGAAGAAGAGUUUGGAGAAUUCAUAGAUUGGUCCCACAAUUAGCAGAAUCAGCAUCUUCAUUAUGACUUGCCAUCUCUUUGAACUUAGCAAAAAUGCAUCAGUGCAUGCAUAUGACAGGAAACUAGCAAUUAGAUCUUUUCUUUUGCUGUUUCCCCUUCUGAUUACCUUUUCUUGGGUAGGAUGUUGCACUUGGGAGGUGAUAGAAUAUUUCCGAGGUUGUAUAUAUGUAUUGCGAAAAAUUGUUUACUUGCUCAUUAUCUCUUUGUAAG